UACAGAGGGGGCAAGCGUUGUUCGGAAUUACUGGGCGUAAAGGGCGCGUAGGCGGCCUACUAAGUCAGACGUGAAAUCCCCCCGGCUUAACCUGGGAACUGCGUCUGAUACUGGAAGGCUUGAGGAUGGGAGAGGGAUGUAGAAUUCCAGGUGUAGCGGUGAAAUGCGUAGAUAUCUGGAGGAAUACCGGUGGCGAAGGCGGCAUCCUGGACCAUUACUGACGCUGAGGCGCGAAAGCUAGGGGAGCAAACAGGG
rnacentral:rRNA from 1 species